GCAUAUGAAGCUAGGGUCGAGGAUUAGGGUAAUAUAGGUGAAUGUAUCCAUUUGAAAGAUAUAUGUACAGUCUCAAGAAGAAAGUAAAAAAUAAGGCCAAAGUUGAAGGUUCUACUGUCGAGGCUUAUAUAACUGAAAAAAAUUUUAAUUUCAGUUGAUAUUAUUUAAUCCUAGUAUGCAGACAAAGCUGACUCAAAUGGAUCAAAAUGAUGAUGAUGGUGAUA
rnacentral:lncRNA from 1 species